UUGAGUUUAAUCGCUAAAGGUUAAACUGUUUAUCUAGCACAAAAGAAUUAUUAGUUAAUUGAUUUUUAAUAUGAUGACGUAAUAUAAUGAGAAGAUUAGCACGCGCUUAGAGCGCCCUCUAUAAUAAGAAGAUCAGCACGCGCUUGGAGCGUCCUCUUUCUCGCUGACUUCCAACGAAGGUAGAUGUGCUUUUAGUGCUCUGUCAAACUAUUUCAAUUUAAGUCUCUAAAGAAAUAUUUAUAAACUUAUAUUUUGUAAUGUUUUAAUGUAAACACUAUCUAAAUGUGCUGAGAAUAGUUUUUUAAGUAAUUUGGUUAUACGUGAAAUAAAUUAUAUUAGUUUUUACAUGCAUAUUUCGUUGUAGAUCUACCACGGCUUCAUAUAUACGGGAUAAAAUUGCAUCAUAAUUUGUGAUUUAUGAUAAAUUAUAAGAGUAAAAUAACUGUGCAGUUAUUUAAUUAGAAUAUUGAGAAUCUAACCAAAGGACAGAUAUAAUUUACAGCUACAACAGUAAAUCUAGAUAAAAAUAUAAUUGUACAAUUUUAAUAAUAAUAAUAAUAAUAAAACAGCAACAAAAUAAAAGCAGUAAACUUACAAAUAGAUUCUAGAUUCUAUUUUAUUUUUCUCUUUUACAUAUAUCUACACCAUGCCGAAAUCCAAACGUAAUAGAUCCUGACCUUGGCGGACCAGGUACAAAAAAGAAGGCACGCACUAACCAGUGCCGGCUGAUAACAACGACGUCGGGCUGAUAAGAACUCAGCUGCCGGCUUCAGCUAGUAUUUUGUUACAGACGUUAAACGCCGCAUGAGCAGUACCGGAUACAUACCAGCUCAAACUCCACUUUGUCAUGGCUGGAUGCGUCAUAGAAAUGCAUACUUUCUAAAAAGAUACAUUGAUCUACUUGUGGAAGAACAGAAAACAAUAUAUACAGACUAUACACUAUAUAGCUUAAAUUUUUGCUUCCGUUGCCGGAGCAAAGAAGUGUAAUAGAAUCUAGUGCAUUAACAUAAGAACAUUAGCUACAAGAUUUAUGACAUUUGUUGGCGUUUUUAACGCAUAAAAAUCCGCUCUGCUACCGUUUCCGGAGCAGAAUUUUAGGUACAAAGACUUAUAGAUUAUCAUCAUUGCAUUUAUUCAUAAAGUUAUUCAAAAUUAUGUAUUCACAGCCAUGGCCAAUAUAUGCCACUAUCUAAAAAUAAAUUUCAUCAAACUUUA